CUGAGACAGGGUUUCUCUAUGUAGCUUUGUGCCUGUCCUGGAUCUCGCUCUGUAGCCCAGGCUGUCCUCGAACUCACAGAGAUCCGCCUGCCUCUGCCUCCCGAGUGCUGGGAUUAAAGGCGUGCACCACUGCCACCUGGCCUUUUUCUGCUGUUUUUGUUGUUGGGCUUUGGUUUUUUGAGGCAGGAUCUCAUUUUGUAUCACAAGCUAGCCUGGAACUCACUAUAUACACCAAGCUGGCCUUGAACUCUGAGAGAUCCUCCUGCCUCUGCCUCCCGAGUGCGUAUGUGUCCUUAUGAAGAAAAGGAACAUCCUCUUGGCUAGCCCUCUCUCCCAGCCCUUCUGCCACAGAUUUGUCCUUCCUUGGUUUACCGGUGCGCCAGAGAAGGAAACCGGCAGGAUGCUGAGGAGACCUGCUUGUUUCCUCAGGUUGUGGCAAAGCUGGUUCCGGGAUCGGCUUUAUUUUUUUUUAUUUCUUCUUGUUUAUCCUCACUACCACCCCUCAACCCAAAUGGCCCAGAAUUCGGUUUCUGCCUCAUUGCUAGAGUUCUAUCCCCAAAGUAAACAUUUGGUCAUAUAAGUUGGCCCCCAAAGUAAAAGAAAUGACUGCAGAAUCAGAGGAAAUGAAGAGGAAGAUGGGGCCUGCCCUCUGAGGAGCCCCGCGGGUGCCGUUUUGGAGAACACUUGCCUCCUCGGCCUGUAUGGACGCAUGUCCCUUGUUUCCACAUCUCUAUAUUUCUCAAUGAGAGCCAGAAACUUGGAUGUUUACUUGAACAAGGAGAAUUUUGAGAACUUGAAAUAUUUGAAAAAUAUUUUUGCUUGAGCCAAAUUCAACUAAGAGUCUCCUGCCUUUGACUCUAGUUUGUAUUGUGGACUGUGACGUCACCACCCGGUAUCCUGGUAACGGCAGUAGCAGCCCCUGACACUGGCCGCGCCUCUGCUAUGGGAAGGAGGGAGAGAGUUGAGACCACAAGGUGACCUUGAAACAAGUCAGCUGUGGCCGUGCCAGGACCCCACGUGUCUCUUCAGGGCUUCUGUGCGUGGGUGGAAGCAACACAGGGGACACGGAAGUGGGUAUGGGGACGGAGUGUGAAGAAGUCUUUCCUCAGGGAGACCUUCCUCCUUUCUUUGCCUCCUGCCAUGAUGCUGCCAAACUCUGGACCACAUUCCGGGCUCGUGCACCCUCCUUUCUGUGGUGCGACAAUGCAACUAUGAGCCAUUCUGGGCUUCUGCUUAGAGAAGAGACCUGUGCGUGACCCCGGUAACAACUUUCUUCUAUGAGAGAUUUCUCCUGCAUGUAGAUACCCAGGCUUGCAAUUUUGACUUCUUUGUCAAUGCCCACCCCAAAGCCUUCUAAAUUUGAAGAUACAUUAACUAAAUAAUUUUAGUUACAGACUUAGGCAAGAAGAUAAUUGAUAGAAAUGAUUGCAUAAAUCUUGUUUAGUGACACAAAUCCAAUUUGGGGAUCUAAACAGCCCCAUGUUAAUAUUCUUUUACUCAGCUAUCUAUUGUAGAAAUUAAAUUGGAAAUCAGUCUUUGGAAUAAGUCUAACUUGAUACUGUGUGACAGAGGGAACACACAGCGUGAUACUUCUCAAAUCUUUUCUCAUUUUGACAAAAAGAUAUAUGGAGAUUUUUAGGAGCUGAUAAAAGCAUUUUCUCUCAGAUAAAGCUGUUGUGUGCGGUUACUUUAAUUCACAAUUCAAUUAAAAAAGAAAUUAAGAGAAGAGAUAGGUGUAAUUGACAUGUUGAGCUUUUAUCCUGGUCUUCUGGAUUCAGAGUUCCUUUUUUUGUGUAGUGUAACGUCACCCAGAGUUCUUCACUGUCAGGAGUCUCACUCAGAUCCCAGUUUUGAGACUUUUUCAGUUAUCUUUCCUCCAUGUUCAGUGACUACCUUCCUCUUCCCCCGGAUGGAAAAUGAGGCAAGUCCAAUGGCAGCUUUGAUAUGGAUCUGAGAAGGGCUGCAGAACCCGCCUUCCUCCAGAGCAGGUUUGGAAACUGGCAGUGCCUGUCUCAUUCUCCCUGUGCCAAAGCUGCGUGUGCCUUACACACUUCAUACACCCCGUUUGUAACUAAGAGAGAAGAAGAGAAAAGUGGAGGGAAGUGGCCACUGGCCGAGAGCAGAAGGGCUGUGUGCAUUAACUGACCGGUGCUUGGGAGAGCAGUGGAGUGUGCUGAACUCCACAAACAUCCUCACUCCGAAACCAGCCGCUGGGAAUUCCUGGAGAAGCUGUGCAUCGUGGGCUCAGAGUCCUUUUUUAAAGAAGGAUUUUCACCACGUGGUUUGACCGGGUAGCUGUGAAAAGGCAAGAGGAUGAUAAAAGGCCUUGUAGAAAUAAGGGAGCAAUGAGCUGAGAUUUUCGUUGACUUGGUUUAUCAACCCAAUGUGUCCUUUUUCAUGGGUGCUUUCCGAAACUACUACCCUACUUUUGGCCCCUUGUGUUGUAAUUUGGGGCAACUAUCUAUUGUUUUGAAAUGAAAUGUAUUCAUAUACUGUUUCAUUAAAUAUGUAAUGUUGUAAGAAAAGAAAACUGCCUCUGAUCAGGUUGAAAAGGGAUUUCUCAGCACAGAAAGGAGAAACACACACCACAAUAUAAAUCUCAAUAGAAUUAGAAUAGAUGCACUGCACCAUGCAUGAAAUUCUCAAAAUAAUUUUUAAAAAUUAAAAGAAAUUAGACGCAUUAGCACUAGCUCAUGGAUUUGCAGUAUAUACAUAGACAGAAAUACAGUUAAAGACAUUGUAUAUAUGUGUAUGAAUAUGUAAGUGCUGGAGCUCACUUACUGGGCCAAGGACACCUGACCUGGCUGCAAGGAAUUAAAUCGGGCCAGUUGGAGGGUCCACAGCAAAACUGAGGCUGUGACAAUUUUAUUGAGAGAAAUCAGACUUUUUAUACCUUUAUCAGAAACAGAAGAUAAUAGCAAUUGUCAGGAUCAAUACAGUUGUGGUUGCCAGGAUACAGUGAUGUUUGCAAGCCAUACAGGGUCCACAAGAUUAGUGUCUAAGACCAAUUGUCCUGUCAGCUUCCACGUUGCCUUGACUACUAAGGGAACAUACAGAGAAACACAAAGUGGCCUGAACACUUCAGUGCCUGAGGGAGUGCAUCAGUCUCUCAGGAACUGGAAGGCCCACUGUUCCCCCGGAGCCAUGGGCUCUGACCUGAAAAACCUAUGACGCAUGCCUCUCAAGGCAGCUAGGCCAGGACGACUCCAUGGGAUAGAUGAGCGCGCACACACACACACACACACACACACACACACACACACACACAGUCGAAAAAGCCUAGAAACAAUGACAGCCUGGUAACAGGAAACACACUGCCACCUGAGCUUGGUUUCUAAGCAUCACGCUCCACUACAAAGAAUCACACACAGUCCCUUAGAAGCACCUGGUUCCACGGCUGAGUUAGGAAAAGUACAUCUUAUUUUUUUUGGGGGGGGGGGAGUGAGGAGAUGGGGAGGCAGAUAGGUGGGUAGAGAAAGCAAGAAACGGCUCCAAAAUGCAGGAGGACAAAAAAUUGAACAAUCCUUAAAAAUGUGUGAGAAUGCAGCUAGACAGUGAAUGGACUGUCUAGCUGCGCCAGGUUGCCCGGCCACACGGCCUGAAAGGCCAGGCUUUCGGGACGCCCUCACACCUCUCACCUACCUCCACAGGCAUGGAUUUGUAGUCUGCUCUUCAGGUCUGCCUCUCUCCGCCUCACAGGGGAACUGUGAAAGGAAGGCACUCAUGUUUUCUUCUGGCUGCUAGAGCGUUUUCCUUUCGCCAAACACAGAAAGGGUUAUAAAUAAAAUGACCGUUUUAACACUAACGUGGGAGACAGUGGCCAAACACAUUAAUUCUUAAGAGAGCCCCUGGACCACUUGUUGAGACCAAAAUACUUCAGAGAUGUCCCCUCUCCUGCUGGAAAACAGUACGGACAGACCACCCGUCACCCUGGAGGCUGUCAAAUGUGUGAAAUCCUUUUCACUUGUACAAAAAGUCCCCAUGGGUGUGCUUGGCAAGGCUCCUGUGCUCAGCUGCCCUAGGGCCUCGAAGUCAGAGGCGGAGCAUCUGAGGAUGACCUGAGCACCAGGUCACAGGCAUGGGCAUCCCUCCAGAGCCCCUGCCGCAGCGCAAGCCCUGCCUGAGUCUCACUGAAAGUAAUGCUUAAAGCAAACAAAAGACGAAACACUAAAAUUUGACCUUGCGGUAAUGACAAAUACCUCACCCCGCCCCCGCGGCCUUUUCGUCAGACACACCACAAAAGUGCUUGGCCCACUUGCCUCUCCCUAGAAGUCCUAGGGAAGAUUGUGCAGAUGUGGCUUGGAAAGCAAAUCAGCCAUUGGUUUGGCUCAAGAAGAUUUUUCUUUGUUUAGCAGUUCUUAUAAUGACUUUGUGAUAGACAAAUUCUUGACUUGAGCUACUGACCUAACUUGCCGGCGACUGUCUGGGAGGGACUGCAUUCCUUAUUUAUUCUUAUUUUCUUAGGUUAUGAAGCGGGGGGGCCUCUGUGCAGUGGAGGGAGCAUGGGUGCCUGUUCCACUUGCUAGAGUGGUUUAGAAAUGUGUCCCCCACUUGGAGCUUGUUGGGUCUGCUAGGAAUGUGCUGUUAAGGGUCCAGGAAAUGUCUCAAAUGGCGCCUCCCCCCCCCCCAUAGAUGCCUCAUCUCUUGACCAUUGUUGGGCUCCAUAUUGGAUGGAGCUUCUGGAAGAGGCUGGAAGUUCCCCACCCCUCUUCUUUCCUGGUGUGUACCAGAUGUGUGCUGGUGACCAUCGAGAAGGAGCUCUGUCUGCCAUGUUGAAGUUUCAUUGCCUUGCUAAUUAACGGAGAAGGGAACUGUACCUCUUGAAAGAGUCGAGGCAGAUUGAGCUUGCAAUGGCUUCCCUGUCUUGAGAUGUCUGCACAGUUCAGAAUGACAAGCCACUGAAUGAAAGAGUAGCCCACGGGUCUACACACACACGAAUAAGUACAGAUAUGAUGGAAAGCCCUGCCCCUUUGGAACAGCGGUAACUGGCAUGCGUAACUGACGCAUGCUGGGAGGAAAAACACAUCACAGAAGCAAGUGGUUCGUGGAGGAUUUGUCCACUGAUGGAAAGUGAAGAGGAUAGAAGGAAGGAAGAAGAUAAAACCUUCAGAACGUUUCUCCACAAAAUGCUUGGAGGAAUGAUGCCCAAAUAGUAGCUUUAUGUGAAGGGAGCUGGAGCGGGUAGAUACUGAUUUGCCUGGCCGACCACAAGACUUUGAAGGGGUGCGUGGGCUCCACAAGCCCACCUACAGGGCACCUUUCCACGUUAUUUCUACCAAAAAAAUGUGGUCUGGAGAUGGUUAAGGGGAAAUAAGACCAGCCUAGAGUGGUAACCAGGCUAGAGAUCUUGUAUUCCUUAAGGUCAUCUAAGAUGGCAGGUGAAGGGAGGCUGAUGAGCCAUGACAAUUAAAUACAGCACAUUCUCUCAGGGUCUUCGCCCAGGAAAAGAGCAAGAGCCAGAGAAAAGAGGGUGGGGGAGACUAGCUGGCAGUGGGGGAAAUACAACGGAACUAUGGUCUGAAUGUUAUAGUAAGAGUGCUUACGGCUGGAGCCUCCCAAAUUUACACCGUUGUAAUGUAAGCCAGUCUCUGUUUGGGGGAAGAUCUGUCUUGAUCUGGUUUGUGUUGCCAUGAUUGAAUACCACACACUGGUUCGCUUACAAAGAACAGAAAUUUAUUUCUCAGAGUUCUGGAGGCCUGAAAGUCCACCAUCAAGGUGCUGGCAUUUGGCAAGGGCAUUUCUUAUGCACCGUCCUAUAGCUAAAGGCAAGAGGGUGGGGACCAGCCGGGCUCAUCUUUUGUAAGGGUAGAAACUUCCAGAAUAAGGAGCCUACUCCUGUGACAAUAGUAUUCAUUGGUUCCAGGGGGCACAGUCAUCCCCAUUGAAUCCUCCUCCAUAUCUCCACUCACCAAGACAGUUGCACUGGGGAUUCCGCUUCCAACACAUAAAAUUUGGGGGACACAUUAGAACUCCCAGUCACGAGGAAUCUGAGGGAAAAGGCCCAAGGAUGUCUUUGGUCAGUUCUUGAAAUCUUUCCUGUAGGCCAGAUGACCAAAACCAUAAAUGGGUCUCAUCUCACAAAACACUAUGAGCAGUUGACCUCUGAACUGGGAUUACCCAUGACCCAUUGAAUUCUUUGUUUAAUUUGCUAGACAUAUUGUCUUUGAUAUUCUUAAAAACACACAUUUUCUAAAGGAAGGACUUUAUGAUAGCAUCACAUACAGAAAACACAGAACUUCAUUUCUUACUUGGAGAUACCCAUCAAACAAUUAAUUCCAGGACCUAAGACCAGUCCUUUAGGUGUGUGUGCUGUGUAGACAUGGUUUUUUUCAUGCUUGCGACUUGUAUUGACCACUUGCACCUGAACUUCAUGGAAAUGGAGCCAGAUUGUGUUCUUUUGGUCUUGUCUUCUCUUGCUCAACACAGCUGUGAGAAUUAGUCAAGCCUCAGUCCAGGCACUAUUUGUUCCUUUCCUAAAAAAACUUUUAAUUGAUCCUUUGUGAAUUUCACAUCCGGUACUCCAAUCCCGUUCUUCUCCCCUUCCCUCCAUAUCGGCCCUCCCCCCUGCAACCUCUCUCGCAAAAGAAAACAAAUGAAAAAAAAAAAAAAAAAUCUAGCCUUGGAAGCUGUUGGCCGGCUCUCCCAAGUCCACACCAGCAGGGCCAGCUCUACUGUGUUGCCCAGAUGAGGUGCAGAGCCCGCUCCCGAGUGCCACAGCCAGCAAGGGGCAGGACCAGCUCUUCUGCUCUCAGGGCCCGCUCUCCCACAGCACAGUGAAUCAGAGUUGGGCCUAGCUCUCCGGGCUCACGCCCUCAGGACCAGCUUUCCUAUGCUGCCCAGGUGAGGUGUGGGACCAGCUCUCCCAUGCCCACACCUUGAGGAGCCAACCCAGGGCACGUCCUGGUUAUGAAUCUGGAUUGUGGAUUGCUACAGAUUCAUUAUGAUCUGACAGCCUCUGUGGAUGAAGAGUCAAAGAGCAGCUUAGCCAGGUCCUCUGCUCAGUGUCUGUCAGGAAGCUUCAGUCGGGCUGGCAACCAGGAGCAAAGUCUCAUAUGUGUCUCACGUGGAGAAGGACCUGUUUCCAUUCUCACAUGGCCGAGGGCAGCUUUCAGCUCCUAGAGAGAGGUCAGUCCGUGGGCCUGAGUGACUUGUGCUUCUGAAGGUUGUCCUUAGUGUCUUACUACACAGGGUUUCCCAUCAUGACCAUGUCUCCAAGCUAGCCAGGUAAAGGCUCUCUGCAUUCGAGGGUAUGGUGUGACCAUUUCUUCCCAGAUCUAAGCAUUUCAUCCGGAGUGGAAGCUUGUUCAGUAACUCCAAACAGCCCCAGGAAGUCCUUGAAACCGAUCAAAUUUCUAGGCUCCCUGCCCCGCCCAAGAAAACAUAGUAAAUAAAGAUUGUUGGGGUCACCCCCAACGAACCCCCUGGAGAAGCGGAGACUAGCCAAGGGGCCUUAUAAGGCUCAGACAACUGGGCCACUGGGAAAGGACACUGUCCAAUGUGUUGAUCUGCCUGUAGGCUGUGCAGUGAUCUCCAGCUUUGUGAGCUGUCACCCAUGCUGGGGUGGUGGGCUUGGGUGAUGCAGCCAUCUUUGAGUCAUUUCUGCUCCUGUAAGUGACCCCUCACCCAUAUUUCUGUAAGUAACCCCAAUAAAGUCAUUGGUUCACCAA